CCUGCAGCUACAGGUACGCAAGUCCUCACACAGAAUAUGUGGAGCUGCUCCAGUCUUCAGCAGUCUCCCUCUCCUGCCUCCCCCCCCCGCAGUCCUCUCUGAGCCCGUCCCCCGCUGAGGUCAGUGCCUGUCUGUGGGCCGACAGACGGCUGGUCGGAGCCAUCGUGUCCGCCGUAGACGGAGAGGACACCGCAGUUGGACUGGACGACCUGCCGAGCAGCAUCAGGUACGACCGGCUUCAGUUUCCUGCCUGGUGCUAGUUCCGGUCUGGUGCUAGUUCAGGGUCUGGUGCUAGUUCAGGUCUGGUGCUAGUUCAGGAUCUGGUGCUAGUUCAGGAUCUGGUGCUAGUUCAGGGUCUGGUGCUAGUUCAGGGUCUGGUGCUAGUUCAGGGUCUGGUGCUAGUUCAGGAUCUGGUGCUAGUUCAGGGUCUGGUGCUAGUUCCGGUCUGGUUCUAGUUCCGGUCUGGUUCUAGUUCCGGUCUGGUGCUAGUAAAGGGUCUGGUGCUAGUUCAGGGUCUGGUGCUAGUUCAGGAUCUGGUGCUAGUUCAGGGUCUGGUGUGAGUUCAGGGUCUGGUGUGAGUUCAGGGUCUGGUGUGAGUUCCGGUCUGGUGCUCACGGCGGUUCAAAGUCGGGUCAACUGGUGAGCCCCUGUAGGGCCGCGUCAUUAAGGCGCUGUAUAUGUCUUCAACUCGCUGACAUUACAAAAGCAAAUAUAGCUUCUGAUUUCUAACUAAGUGAAACAUUGAUGUCACUGCGAA
rnacentral:lncRNA from 15 species